UACGUAGGUGGCAAGCGUUGUCCGGAUUUACUGGGCGUAAAGAGCGCGCAGGCGGUCGAUUUAGUCGUGUGUGAAAGCCCCCGGCUCAACUGGGGAGGGUCACGCGAUACUGAUCGACUCGAAGGCAGGAGAGGGUAGUGGAAUUCCCGGUGUAGUGGUGAAAUGCGUAGAUAUCUGGAGGAACACCGGUGGCGAAGGCGGCAUCCUGGACCGGUAUUGACGCUGAGGCGCGAAAGCCAGGGGAGCAAACGGG
rnacentral:rRNA from 1 species